UGUCUGUAUGUGUGUGUGUCUGUAUGUAUGUGUCUGUAUGAUACAGACACAUACAUACAGACACACACACAUACAGACACA